rnacentral:rRNA from 1 species
AGUGAACGCUGGCGGUAGGCCUAACACAUGCAAGUCGAACGGCAGCACAGUAAGAGCUUGCUCUUACGGGUGGCGAGUGGCGGACGGGUGAGGAAUACAUCGGAAUCUACUUUUUCGUGGGGGAUAACGUAGGGAAACUUACGCUAAUACCGCAUACGACCUACGGGUGAAAGCAGGGGAUCUUCGGACCUUGCGCGAUUGAAUGAGCCGAUGUCGGAUUAGCUAGUUGGCGGGGUAAAGGCCCACCAAGGCGACGAUCCGUAGCUGGUCUGAGAGGAUGUUCAGCCACACUGGAACUGAGACACGGUCAAGACGCCUACGGGAGGCAGCAGUGGGGAAUAUUGGACAAUGGGGGCAAGCAUGAUCCAGCAAUACCGCGUGGGUGAAGAAGGCCUUCGGGUUGUAAAGCCCUUUUGUUGGGAAAGAAAAGCAGCAGGUUAAUACCCCGAUGUUCUGACGGUACCCAAAGAAUAAGCACCGGCUAACUUCGUG